UACACGUACUGGACAAGAACUCAAAGCUGAACAUGUUUCUUCGCCUUCACCGUUGACAAAAGAAUUCUUUAUGGACAUGGCAGAUGCCAUCGCACAUAUUUUCCCGUAUGGCGAAUUGGCGCGCAAGCACAAAUGCAGUGUGGAUAAGGUAAAUCGAGCCUUGAUUGCCGUUGUGCUUGAUCCGCUGAUGAAGAGAAUUGAGGGCCAGGACAGUUGUGGAAACGGCAACGAGGAAGAGGAGGUAGAGCAUGCUCAGACUGCUCUGUCAGAAACAUGGGGUUCUCCCAAUACUCUGAUCAACAAGUGGAACCAACAGUAUCAAGAAAUGGUGUCUGAGCUGCAGAGAGAAAGCGAAGGGAAAAGCCUGCCUAUGGAAUUCGAGCAGAUUCUUAUUGCGGCAUCGGGGAAUGCGGAAGCUUAUUGGA
rnacentral:sRNA from 1 species